CAAUAGCGUAUAUUAAAGUUGUUGCGGUUAAAAAGCUCGUAGUUGGAUUUCUGCUGAGAACGACCGGUCCGCCCUUUGGGUGUGUAUCUGGCUCUUUCUUGGCAUCUUCUUGGUGAACAUUGCUGCACUUGACUGUGUGGAGCGCUACCCAGGACUUUUACUUUGAGGAAAUUAGAGUGUUUCAAGCAGGCAUACGCCUUGAAUACAUUAGCAUGGAAUAAUAAGAUAGGACCUCGGUUCUAUUUUGUUGGUUUCUAGAGCUGAGGUAAUGAUUAAUAGGGAUAGUUGGGGGCAUUCGUAUUUAACUGUCAGAGGUGAAAUUCUUGGAUUUGUUAAAGACGGACUACUGCGAAGGCAUUUGCCAAGGAUGUUUUCAUUGA
rnacentral:rRNA from 1 species